rnacentral:rRNA from 1 species
AUUGAACGCUGGCGGCAGGCCUAACACAUGCAAGUCGAGCGAGCGGCGGACGGGUGAGUAAUGUCUGGGAAACUGCCUGAUGGGGGGGGAUAACUACUGGAAACGGUAGCUAAUACCGCAUACCAUCAGAUGUGCCCAGAUGGGAGUAGCUGGUGGGUGGGGUAACGGCUCACCUAGGCGCCGAUCCCUAGCUGGUCUGAGAGGAUGACCGGCCAAACGGGAACGGAGACCCGGGCCAGACUCCUACGGGAGGAAGCAGUGGGGAAUAUUGGACAAUGGGCGAAAGCCUGAUGCAGCCAGGCCGCGUGUGUGAAGAAGGCCUUCGGGUUGUAAAGCACUUUCAGCGGGGAGGCGUUACCCGCAGAAGAAGCACCGGCUAACUCCGUGCCAGCAGCCGCGGUAAUUC